rnacentral:sRNA from 1 species
CUCUCUCUCCUACCCAACGACCUGUGCCAGCGUUCCCGUCCACCUUCCGAGGUGUGUUCGGUCGACGCGCUGGCAGUUCGUCCGCCACAAGGAGCCAUCUUUAUUAUGAUGUCAAUUUCCGGCCGACAGGUCUAAGAGAGAGUCGGUAGCGUUCGGAAGCCUGAGUUCGCGGAAACGUUUGAGCUCGGUGGAAGGCGCUGCCAGGGCCACUGAUUCCUACUCCCUUAUGCUAGGCCGUCGGCCACUGAUGCUUGGGAAAAACCCAGUUGCCUACAUCU